UGCUCUGUGUCUUAAUUUGAUCCACCCACGC
rnacentral:piRNA from 1 species